rnacentral:rRNA from 1 species
UGAGGGGCCUGCGUAGCAUCAGCUAGUUGGUGGGGUAAUGGCCUACCAAGGCGAAGACGCUUAGCUGGUCUGAGAGGAUGAUCAGCCACACUGGGACUGAGACACGGCCCAGACUCCUACGGGAGGCAGCAGUGGGGAAUAUUGGACAAUGGGCGCAAGCCUGAUCCAGCCACGCCGCGUGAGUGAUGAAGGCCUUCGGGUCGUAAAGCUCUGUGGGGAGGGACGAACGGCGCCAUGAAGAGUGGCGAUUGACGGUACCUCCUUAGCAAGCACCGGCUAACUUCGUGCCAGCAGCCGCGGUAAUACGAAGGGGUGCAAACGUUGCUCGGAAUCAUUGGGCGUAAAGCGCACGUAGGCGGCUUUCUAAGUCGGAUGUGAAAUCCCUCGGCUUAACCGAGGACGUGCAUCCGAAACUGGGAGGCUUGAGUAUGGAAGAGGGUCGCAGAAUUCCCGGUGUAGAGGUGAAAUUCGUAGAUAUCGGGAGGAAUACCAGUGGCGAAGGC